UUUCCGUAGGUGAACCUGCGGAAGGAUCAUUCAUAAUAAAGUGUUUUAUGGCACUUUUUAAAAACCCAUAUCCACCUUGUGUGCAAUGUUAGAUCUCGUCAAUCUUGGCGAGAUUUUUAUACAUCAACUCAUUUUUUAACUAAUUUGUCUGAAAAAUAUUAUGAAUACUUAAUUCAAAAUACAACUUUCAACAACGGAUCUCUUGGCUCUC
rnacentral:misc_RNA from 1 species